UCAGCCUCUUGCUGCUUUAAACCUGCUUCGGGAGCUCACACAUGCACUGACUUGGUUGGCCUGGGCGCCUUUAAUCCUUAGAUCCCAAGAGAACCUAUUCCCGGGCUUCACUCCCUUGACACCCUUUAAACUUCUUCCAGAAGCUUGGCAGAUAUAUUACCAAUGUCCAGACUGGUUCUCCUUGCCAACAAGCCAAACACAGGCCCGUUGCUGUGAACAGAACCAGCUGUCUCUCUUUGCUCUCAAAGAUGUUUAAGCGUCAGGUUUACUAGUGUUAUUAUGGCUGUCCCCAGAUCUUCUUAUUAUAAAGUGUUUAAAAUAUACUAAUAACAUUUAUUUCUAAUUCCUUUUUCAACAGGAAAGGCUCCUUCCUCUCCUCACCAGAGUAAGACACAAAGUUACACAGCUUCGAGAUCACCAGGAACGAAAGGACCACCAGCUAUCUUGCAGCAGAGCCCACCUAUAACUAUUUCUGACUACCUGGUGAGGCUAAUUCCUCCAUCUCUUUUGACAAAGAGUCUGGGUGUUUCAUGACUCUCCCUUCAAGGCACAAUAAGAUGGAAAGAACCCGGAUCCCCAAGUGGCUUCAUGGAGCAGAACCGUCUUGCCAGCCUACCCUACUUAAACUGUUAGAAGAGGGUGCCAACCAAGAGGACUCACAGUUGAGAAUAAACCACAGAUGCGACCCAAGAACAUCACCAGGGGAAAACCUUCAUUCUUGGUGCUAAAGAAUAAAGCUGUCCUUUUAUCAGCCCUAAGGUCAUAUUCAUCCCAUCUGUUCCAAACUGACAAGAAAAAAAAAAUAGCUCAAAUUACCACUUCAGACGCAACCAAAAUUAUAGGCAGAAUGGCUGACUGGGCUUUUCACAGCAACGGUUCUUACCAAUGAAGCACUAAGCACAAACGUCUCAUUAAGACAAUUCUGUUUUCUAACUGAGGGGCUUCGACAAGACGAUCCUAGAGGUCAUUUCCAGAACUGAGUCUGUGAUUUCUAAACACUUCUAAAACAUUGUAUUAGAAUGAAAAAAGAAUGAUAUCUAAAAGAAGUAAGAACAUUCUUUAAAAAUGGAAAACGUCUGUUCUUCAUGGAAAACACACAACCUAGAACACUACACACCCACAUACACACACACACACACACACACAAAUGCACGCACAUGCACACAACUCCUAGCUUAACCCCAAUCACAGCCAAAACCAGCUACAAAUAUUUACAAACUGUUUUCUAACAUUAUUAUUUUUGUUCUGGACACAGGAGUAUUUUACCAGUUUAAGGAAGAGAACCCAGUGAAUGAGAGCUUCCAAUUCUGAGUUUCCAUGAAAACCUGAGUUUGAAGGAACUAGGUCAAAUUGACCCUUCUUUCUUCAAACCAGUAUAAAACCUGAUGUAAUCCCAGAAAUAAUCACAAAAGAGGGAGCACAAAUAUAAACAGUUCUCAAAAGGAAAUAUUCAAGUGUUCUAGACUGGUAUGCACCCAACAACUUAAAAUGAGGACAGCCCGCCUCUCCAAGGCCCCUAAAAUGACCAACCUGCCCCCUCCCGACCACCAAAAUGCUCUCUAACCACCCUGAAGUUAAAAGGAGAUGAAUAGAAAGUUCUAGAGAACAAAAGCAAGUGAGAGAAAUUUAAGACAAAAGUAAAAGAGAAACUUUGAGAACUCACCUAGGACCUAAAUUUAUAAUUGGCUGCCAAAUUAACUCCACGGUCAACGACAGACGUGUCUUGAGCACAAUGGCCCUGGGGACACAGGGUGAAGAAGGCUGACAGGACCUCUGUCCUCACAGAACUGACUAUUACUAUGACAGACAACACGCACUAAAUGAAAGCACACAGGCUAAUUACAGACUGAGAAGCCGGGAUCCAGUGCUGGCACACGGGAAGGGGCAGAGACAAGAGGCCACUGUAAUCAGGGUGGUUAGGGAAGGUCUCUCCCAGGAAAUGACUGCUGAGCUGAGACCCAGAAGAGAAAGGGCCAGCCAAGCAACCAGCUAGGGGAAGAAGGUCCCAGGUUUGUGGCAGACGGCCUGGCCGUGUCAGAAUCAGAAGGUGCCCUGUGGGUGGAGUGUGGGAUGCAAAGGGGAGAAGGGCUGGAACUCUGAGCACCUAAGCCCAAGUCUGCAAGAACAGAGGCCUACAGGGCCCUCCUGGCUUCUCGAAGGAACAUGGCCUCCCACUCAAAAUCCCCCAAUGGUACAUUCCCUCAACUCAGAAAGGGGGUGGGGGCGAGGCAAAAAAAAAAAGUAAAGUUACGUAUCCACUAAAUGGGGGGAUGGUAUGGUGGUAAAGCCACUCCUUGGUGUCACAAGAUUAUCCUCUCUGUUCAGAAAAGAAAACUAGACUCAGAUAAGUUAUGUGGCUUGCACAGAGCUACACAGCUCUUCAGGGGACGAGCUAGGACCCAAAGGAGGAGGGUCUGACCCGACCCAGUUUCUUUCAUUACAUCAUAUGAGUUUUUUGGUUUUAUUUAUUUGUUUUUCUAGUG